CACACAGACUAUUAUUCGAACUCACUGACUCGAGAAUGGUAGAGGUAACUGGAAUUUCUUGUGUAGGAGUGAAAUCCGUAGAUAUAAGAAGGAACACCAAUGGCGUAGGCAGGUUACUGGACCAUUUCUGACACUGAGGCACGAAAGCGUGGGGAGCGAACCGGAUUAGAUACCCGGGUAGUCCACGCCGUAAACGAUGGAUACUAGCUGUUGGAGGUAUCGACCCCUCCAGUAGCGAAGCUAACGCGUUAAGUAUCCCGCCUGUGGAGUACGGUCGCAAGACUAAAACAUAAAGGAAUUGACGGGGACCCGCACAAGCGGUGGAUCGUGUUCUUUAAUUCGAUGCUAAACGAAGAACCUUACCAGGGCUUGACAUCCAGGGAAGCACUGCGAAAGCAGCGUGUGCCUUUUGGAACCCUGUGACAGAUGAUGCAUGGCCGUCGUCAGCUCGUGUCGUGAGAUGUUUGGUUAAGUCCAUCAACGAGCGCAACCCUUGUGAAUAGUUGUAUUUUUCUAUUCAGACUGCCCCGGCAACGGGGAGGAAGGAGGGGAUGAGGUCAGGUCUGUAUUUCUCUUACGUCCUGGGCUGGAAACACGAUACAAUGGCUAGUACAAUGCGCAGCGAAGCCGCGAGGUGGAGCAAAUCGCAUCAAAGCUAGUCCCAGUUCGGAUAAGAGGCUGAAACUCGCCUCUUUGAAGUCGGAAUCGCUAGUAAUCGCAAGUCAGCAAAUUGCGGUGAAUACGUUCCCGGGUCUUGUACACACCGCCCGUCAAACCAUGAAAGUGACCAACACCCGAAGUCCGAUUCGUCGGCCUAAGGUGGGGGGCAUGAUUGGGGUUAAGUCGUAACAAGGUAACC
rnacentral:rRNA from 1 species